UAAGUUUUAAAUAUGUUUUGUAGAGAGAGGGUCUUACUAUGUUACUCGGGAUGGUCUGGAAACCCCAGCCGUAUGUGACCCUCCUGCCUCUGCACUGGGGUUAUAGGAGUAAGGCGGUGCACCGGGUCUGGCUAUUUUUUACACGUGGUUUUGUUUUUCAUUUUCAAUGGCCAUUUUUCCUUGACUUUGGUUGCUUUGGAGCUUAAAAGCACAGUUCUUGGGAUGUGGCCACUGCAUUUGCGUCAUAGCACACAACCGCUCUCCUGAUCCUUUCAUUGCCAGUGAGACAUUUAUUUUUGCAAGUCUUCCAUCUCAGCUGAGUGGGAUGUGAAAUAGAACUGCUGGGGUCUGUGACUCUCCUUUCUCUCCUUUCCUGCCAGGGCCACUGCAGAACCUUUGGGCUCAGUCUCGUCACAGAUCUUUCUGCAGCUCUGCUGGCUAGAACUGAGGAGGGCAGGCGGUGGUGCAAAGCUUUGCCCCUUUUCUGGUAUUAUGGGUUGCAUUAUGUCCCACACCGCACCUACUGUGAUUGUGUUUGAAAGAAAGGCCUGUAAAGAGGCACCUAGAGAAAACGCUAUGUGAGGCCACAGUGAGAAGAGAGGCCUCACCAUAAACCAGCCCUGCUGGCACCUUGAUUCUAGAAUUCCAGCCUCCAGAAUUAUGAGAAAAUAAUUAUCCGUUGUUUCAGCCACCCAGUGCUUGGAAUUUCAUCAGGUUAGCCUGAGCCCUCUGCUGCAUUUAGUAAAGAAGAGUGAGAUCGGGGCUCCGUCACUCUUGUGCCCUGGAGCAGGCCUCCCGGGCCACCUCCUCAGCCUCCAUGCAGCCGCGCCCACCUCCCAACAGGACUCAGACCUUCCUAGUUACGGGGUUUGAGUGGUCUCAAUCCUCAGCAGUGAAAGCCAGUGUGCACAUUGAAUUCCUUGGGCCGCAGUGAUGAAUUCAGGAGUGAGCCUAUCGGUCCAAGCAGAGGGAAGCCCAAGGCUUUUGUUCAAUGGCUGAGGAAAGAGAAGUUCCCUCUCCUUGGAUGUAAGUGAGGAAGCCUGGAGUCUGGAAGCUACUGACAGACCUCUCACUACCACGAGGGCUUGAGGACCAGGACAGCAUGGUGCGACGGACCCAGUGGCACCCCCAGAGCUGCUGUUCUGAAGAAUGCCAUGAAUAUCUGGCCCAAACUGCACAGGACUUUUCACUUCCUUGACAACACAUCUCUUUCAUUGCUUCCUGGGACCUGCUGCUGAAAGCCUCCUAACUGGAACUCUCCUACCAACGGGUGCCCCCACAGCAGGCACGGUGAGCCUGCAGGAAUAGAAGGCUGGUUCCUGGUACUUUGCAGCUGGACUCCUUUUAGUGGCUUUCUGGUCUAGAUGGAGUAAAACCUGGGGUGUCUACUGGUAUUGGUAGUAUGAGGAAGUCAAGAGAUUUCCCUUGGCAGAAAGUAAGUAAAAAAUGGACAAAAUUAUUAAAGACAGUCAUUUCAGGCCAUUGGAAAAUGAUCAGAGACAAGGCAAAAUUUGCAAAGUUUACUCGUGAAACUGCUACAGCAUUUGCUAAGAACAGCGAUCUGUGGGUUCCCUGCCUGGAGGUAUUCUCUGAUUUUGGACAUCGCAAGAAAUAUACAUGUGGUCUUCAUCCCCGGCUCCUGACGCAGACCUACUAAGACUUCUAUGAUUUCCUGAAUAGUAAGGGUGCUAGGAGCCUCUCCUAUCCUAGCAUUUGGACUUUGAUGCCAGCUCCUGACACGCAGUUUCUAAGUCCCUUCGAUUUGCCUGGGUGAUAGGAGCCUCUUUUGUUCUAAUGAGGUGACUCUUGGUGGGCUCCUGGAUAGCUUUAGGACUGGGGAUGGUCACCAGAAAGACUGAGCCAUGAUGAGAAGAUUUGAACUUUUAUCUUCAAUCCCCGUCCUUUGGGGAGAAGAGAGGGACUGGAGAUUGAGUUAAUAGUUGUUCAUGCCUGUGUGGUGAAGCUUCCAUAAGAAUACCUGAAAGACGGGAUUUGGAGAUCUUCUCAGUUGGUGAACACAUGGAGGCGCUGGGAUGGUGGUGCACCCAUAAAGGGUGCGGGAGCUCUGCGCUGCUCCCGGGCACCUGCCUUCUGCACUUCUUCCAUCUGGUCGUUCCUGACUUGUAUCUUUUAUAAUAAACUGGUAAAUACAGACAAAUGUU